CUCCAACGAGCGCAAGCCUGAUCCAGCAAUGCCGCGUGCAGGAAGAAGGCCUUCGGGUUGUAAACUGCUUUUGUCAGGGAAGAAAUCUUCUGGGCUAAUACCCCGGGAGGAUGACGGUACCUGAAGAAUAAGCACCGGCUAACUACGUGCCAGCAGCCGCGGUAAUACGUAGGGUGCGAGCGUUAAUCGGAAUUACUGGGCGUAAAGCGUGCGCAGGCGGCUUUGCAAGACAGAUGUGAAAUCCCCGGGCUCAACCUGGGAGCUGCAUUUGUGACUGCAAGGCUAGAGUACGGCAGAGGGGGAUGGAAUUCCGCGUGUAGCAGUGAAAUGCGUAGAUAUGCGGAGGAACACCAAUGGCGAAGGCAAUCCCCUGGGCCUGUACUGACGCUCAUGCACGAAA
rnacentral:rRNA from 1 species